rnacentral:rRNA from 1 species
UCGCUACUACCGAUUGAAUGGCUUAGUGAGCUCUAGGGACUCGGGUCCCGGCGGGGUUUCUCGCCGGGUACCUGGGGAACUAGAUCAAACUUGAUCAUUUAGAGGAAGUAA